UUCGGUUGUUACUGCGCCCUCUGGAAGUUGAUUGUGAAUUCAACUCGGAAUAUUCCGUAUUAAUUUAAAUGUCAAUUUAUUAUGGAACACUUAUUUCCGGAUAAAUGAGGUCGAAUAUCAUUACCGUUGGGAAAUAUUUUAUAGUUUCUGGAUUUCUUGUUUGUUUUCUUCUGUGUGGGAAGUUUCGUUUGACAACUGGUAGAUUCUGUGGUGAUGGAUUGUCAAAAUGGAGGUUAUCGGCGAUUUGAGAUAGUUUUUUGAAAGAGAGUUUUUUGGAAAGAAAGUUUGCCUGAUUGAAGAAUAUAUGAUCUAGAAUCAUCCUUAUUAUAGGCGAUUAUUUCUUCAAUUUGGAUAACUCCCUGUAUGGUUUAUGGUAUUGUGAAUAAUUUUGGGAAAUACGUUUUAUACGUGAUUAUGAGAAUUUUCUUCCACAAGGCCCAUCUCUGGUAUUGAAAUUUACUCUGAAGAUCUGAGAGGUAUGAUAUCAUUCCUAUAUCUUGUGUCAUUAUCUGAGAUUUCUAUUUUAUUAGGAUUCGCUUCCCGGCGAUUAGUUCGAACAACUGUGGAACUUACACGAAGAAUAUCAAGAAGAUCCUUUUCCCUCGAACAACAUCUGAGAGGGUCCUAGUGCCUGGUUCCGUUCAAGAAUCCUAGUGCCUGGUUGGAUUUGAAGAGUCCUAGUGACUGAUUACGUUCAAGAGUUCUGGAGUCUGGUGUAUAGUACGGUUGGAGUUUAUGGUAUUAUUUUCUGGUAUAUGGUGGUACAUAGUAUAUUUCUGGCAUAUGGUGCAGCUCGAGUAGAUGGUACAUUCUACGUAUAGAGAUCUCACCGUUAGAUUUGAUGUCAACCUUCAAUAUUGACUUUGUAUCAGGUAACCGGUGCUUGCACUGGCUUUAAUGAGUAUUGUACUGAGAUUUAGUUUUUGAAAGUAACGAUUUAGUGCACUGAUAGUUAAUCAGAUAUUUGAAUAGGAGUUAACGGAUUUAUUAUUGAUUUUCUAUCCAUUGAUAGUUAUAUUGAAGUUAUAAGUUAUAUUGAAUAAAGGUUGUUUCAUGCUUAUUAUACACUGUUGCAAUUGUAAACAGUUUGCGGUGAGGUGCACUUCACUAACUGGCCAUUUAUUUUAACAACUAUAAUACUUGUGUAUCCCUUCAGGAUUUGUGACUGGAAUUUAUUAUCACUUUGUUCAGCCUGCUAUUUUGUACCAGCCAGUUAUUACAACCACUGUAUUUGUAUAUUCCUUCUGGAUCUGUGGUUUAGGUCAAUCUUCUUGUUCAACUUGGUUAAUUUGUAUGGUUUAUUAUCUGGUUUAGUUGGAGUUUGUCGAACUCCGUUUACGUUAGUUUCGGUACUGAUAUUUAAGGUUUAGCCUAAGCCAAGUGUGGCUGAUAUAAGUAUUCUAUUUUGAGGAUUAGUUUAGGCAUUUUAGGUUGUAGGAAGCCCUUCUGGCAUUUGUUGUUGAUUAUAGUUUAUAGGAAGCCCUUCUGGCAUUUGUUAGUGUUAGGUAAAGUUUUUGGGAAGCCCUUAUGGCUCUUGGUAAUUUAGAGAAUUCUUUUUCAUUAUUUUUUUUAUUAUCAACCACUGCAUAAAUUUUAAUUUCAUUAAACGUUUGACUUGA